ACAUCAGACAGAAUGUGCCGCGCGAGCGGGGUAGGACAGAGAAAUAAAAACCUAACUACCUUAACCUAUUGUGUUGACGCAAGUCUACUUGCCAUUCCCCUUGCCAUAGUUACUGGAACAUUAAGCUUUCUCCAUUAACCUGUAGCAAACGAGGCUUCAAGAAGUACAGUCAGAAUGGUU